rnacentral:tRNA from 1 species
GCCGGUGUAGCUCAGUUGGUAGAGCGUCUUACUUGUAAUAAGAGGGUCGCGGGUUCGAAUCCUGUCACCGGCUCCA